rnacentral:rRNA from 1 species
AGUGAACGCUGGCGGUAGGCCUAACACAUGCAAGUCGAACGGCAGCACAGUAAGAGCUUGCUCUUACGGGUGGCGAGUGGCGGACGGGUGAGGAAUACAUCGGAAUCUACUUUUUCGUGGGGGAUAACGUAGGGAAACUUACGCUAAUACCGCAUACGACCUACGGGUGAAAGCAGGGGAUCUUCGGACCUUGCGCGAUUGAAUGAGCCGAUGUCGGAUUAGCUAGUUGGCGGGGUAAAGGCCCACCAAGGCGACGAUCCGUAGCUGGUCUGAGAGGAUGAUCAGCCACACUGGAACUGAGACACGGUCCAGACUCCUACGGGAGGCAGCAGUGGGGAAUAUUGGACAAUGGGCGCAAGUCUGAUCCAGCCAUACCGCGUGGGUGAAGAAGGCCUUCGGGUUGUAAAGCCCUUUUGUUGGGAAAGAAAAGCAGCAGGUUAAUACCCCGCUGUUCUGACGGUACCCAAAGAAUAAGCACCGGCUAACUUCGU